rnacentral:rRNA from 1 species
GGUUAAGCGACUAAGCGUACACGGUGGAUGCCCUGGCAGUCAGAGGCGAUGAAGGGCGUGCUAAUCUGCGAUAAGCGCCGGUAAGGUGAUAUGAACCGUUAUAACCGGCGAUACCCGAAUGGGGAAACCCAGUGUGACUCGUCACACUAUCAUUAACUGAAUCCAUAGGUUAAUGAGGCGAACCGGGGGAACUGAAACAUCUAAGUACCCCGAGGAAAAGAAAUCAACCGAGAUUCCCCCAGUAGCGGCGAGCGAACGGGGAGGAGCCCAGAGCCUGAAUCAGCAUGUGUGUUAGUGGAAGCGUCUGGAAAGGCGCGCGAUACAGGGUGACAGCCCCGUACACAAAAGCGCAUGUGCUGUGAGCUCGAUGAGUAGGGCGGGACACGUGGUAUCCUGUCUGAAUAUGGGGGGACCAUCCUCCAAGGCUAAAUACUCCUGACUGACCGAUAGUGAACCAGUACCGUGAGGGAAAGGCGAAAAGAACCCCGGCGAGGGGAGUGAAAAAGAACCUGAAACCGUGUACGUACAAGCAGUGGGAGCACCCUUUGGGUGUGACUGCGUACCUUUUGUAUAAUGGGUCAGCGACUUAUAUUCUGUAGCAAGGUUAACCGAAUAGGGGAGCCGGAGGGAAACCGAGUCUUAAUUGGGCGUUAAGUUGCAGGGUAUAGACCCGAAACCCGGUGAUCUAGCCAUGGGCAGGUUGAAGGUUGGGUAACACUAACUGGAGGACCGAACCGACUAAUGUUGAAAAAUUAGCGGAUGACCUGUGGCUGGGGGUGAAAGGCCAAUCAAACCGGGAGAUAGCUGGUUCUCCCCGAAAGCUAUUUAGGUAGCGCCUCGUGAAUUCAUCUCCGGGGGUAGAGCACUGUUUCGGCUAGGGGGCCAUCCCGGCUUACCAACCCGAUGCAAACUGCGAAUACCGGAGAAUGUUAUCACGGGAGACACACGGCGGGUGCUAACGUCCGUCGUGAAGAGGGAAACAACCCAGACCGCCAGCUAAGGUCCCAAAGUCAUGGUUAAGUGGGAAACGAUGUGGGAAGGCCCAGACAGCCAGGAUGUUGGCUUAGAAGCAGCCAUCAUUUAAAGAAAGCGUAAUAGCUCACUGGUCGAGUCGGCCUGCGCGGAAGAUGUAACGGGGCUAAACCAUGCACCGAAGCUGCGGCAGCGACACUGUGUGUUGUUGGGUAGGGGAGCGUUCU